GAAUUUUAUAUUUUAAUAUGUAAUAAAUAUAUAUAAUUAAAAUAUUUUAUUGGGAGGAUAUUUAAAUUUAAUAAACUUUAAUUAUUAAUAACAUAGAUGAAUGAAAAUUUUUAAAAAAUAUAAAUAUUUAAGAAUAAAUGAAUAAUUAUGUAAUUAUUAAAGAAUUAAUUACCUUAGGGAUAACAGCAUAAUAUUUUUUUGUAGUUCAUAUAUAAAAAAAUGCUUGU
rnacentral:rRNA from 1 species